rfam:Ciona savignyi cont_21616, whole genome shotgun sequence.
UCCCAGGUGGUCUAGUGGUUAUGAUUCGUGGCUCUCACCCACGCGGCCCGGGUUCGAUUCCCGGUCUGGGAA